rnacentral:rRNA from 1 species
GCAGUAGCCACGGUAAUACGGAGGAUCCAAGCGUUAUCCGGAAUCAUUGGGUUUAAAGGGUCCGUAGGCGGUCUUGUAAGUCAGUGGUGAAAGCCCAUCGCUCAACGGUGGAACGGCCAUUGAUACUGCAGGACUUGAAUUAUUGGGAAGUAACUAGAAUAUGUAGUGUAGCGGUGAAAUGCUUAGAGAUUACAUGGAAUACCAAUUGCGAAGGCAGGUUACUACCAAUUGAUUGACGCUGAUGGACGAAAGCGUGGGUAGCGAACAGGAUUAGAUACCCGCGUAGUCCCUGUCUCUUAUAC